UCUGUACACGCGUGAGUCUUUGUUCCACGUUCCUUGUUGUAUGUGAGGGUCUAUCCAGGCCAAUGCCACUGGCGAAGAAUGAUGUGACCCGGCUUCAAUUAUGAAGCAAGAACUGUUUCUACGAAAACAGUCUGUAUCCUGUAGUUCCAGUGGUGACGUAGAACGACCGAGGAAAAUCACGAAGAUUAAGGUGCCCUCCAUGAGUAACCACAAAGCCGUGGAAUAUACGAAGCGCGUAUGUGUUCCUCCACGUUGUUAAAACCUC